GAGUUUGAUCUUGGCUCAGAUUGAACGCUGGCGGCAUGCCUUACACAUGCAAGUCGAACGGUAACAGGUCUUUCGGGAUGCUGACGAGUGGCGAACGGGUGAGUAAUACAUCGGAACGUGCCUAGUAGUGGGGGAUAACUACUCGAAAGAGUGGCUAAUACCGCAUGAGAUCUAUGGAUGAAAGCAGGGGACCUUCGGGCCUUGUGCUACUAGAGCGGCCGAUGGCAGAUUAGGUAGUUGGUGGGAUAAAGGCUUACCAAGCCUACGAUCUGUAGCUGGUCUGAGAGGACGAUCAGCCACACUGGGACUGAGACACGGCCCAGACUCCUACGGGAGGCAGCAGUGGGGAAUUUUGGACAAUGGGCGCAAGCCUGAUCCAGCAAUGCCGCGUGCAGGAUGAAGGCCUUCGGUUGU
rnacentral:rRNA from 1 species